GUACACGAUUCUUCGUGUCACCUAUCGAAAGGGAAUCCGGUUAAUAUUCCGGNACCAGGAUGUGGAUUCUCCACGGCAACGUAAAUGAAGUUGGAGACGUCGGUGGNNGCCCUGGGAAGAGUUCUCNNUUCUUUUUAACAAACCAAUCACCCUGAAAUCGGUUUAUCCGGAGCUAGGGNNUAGUGUUUGGUAGAGCUCAGCGCCUCUGCUGGGUCCGGUGCGCUCNNNACGGCCCUUGAAAAUCCAACGGAAGGAAUAGUUUUCACGC
rnacentral:rRNA from 1 species